GACUGAUAUCACCAAAUGUCAUAGAGGGU
rnacentral:piRNA from 1 species